GAUCUUGUCUCACCGCUAUCACCUGGGUUCAAGCAAUUCCACUGCCUUCGCCUCCCAGGUAGCUGGGAUUACAGGCACCCACUACCACAUCCACCUUCUUUUUGUGUUUUUAUUAGAGAUGGGGUUUCACCAUAUUGGCCAGGCCGGUCUCGAAUUCAUAACCUCGGGUGAUCCACUAACCUUGGCCUUCCAAGGUGCUGGGAUUACAGGCGUGUGAGCUACCACGCCUAGCCUCAAGUUGUCCUCUUACGUCAGACUAGACCUUGGUCUAGUGGAGGGUGUUUGUGUGGGCCAAAAUGUAUAUUCUUCAACAUCUUAGAUUCCAUUUUGGUUGUUCCCAUCAGGACUGUGUGUCCCUGUGCUGAAGCUCAAGUGAACGCUUGGCUCAACAUCCAUUGCUGUCCUCUAGAAAUCCGGCCCAAUUCUCAUGCUUACAUGUAAGAUUCCAUUUUGGAUGUGUCCGGAUGCUUCCAUAGGGACAGUGUGUCCCUGUGCUGGAACUCAAGUGAACCCUUGGCUCAAAAUCCAUUGCUCUUUUCUGGAAAUCCUUCCCAAUUCUCAUGGAUAAAAGUAAGGUUCAAGUGAUCCUCCUGCCUCAGCCUCCGAGCAGCUGAAACUACAGAUUUCCUUUUGGAUGCUUCCAUAGAGACGGUACAUCCCUGCGCUGGAACCCAAGUGCACACUUGGCUCAGAAGCCAUUGCUCUUUUCUGGAAAUCCUGCCCACUUAUCGUGGUUAAAGAUAAGGUGUGGACGAAGUCGCGCUCUGUCACCCGGCUGGAGUCCAGUGGUGCGAUCUCAGCUAAUUGCAACCUCCGCCUCCCAGGUUCACGUGCUCCUCCUGUGUAGCCUCCCGAGCAGCUGAAACUACAGGUGUGGAGGAAGUCUCACUCUGUCGCCAGGCUAGAGUGCAAUGGCGUGAUUGCAGCUCACUGCAACCUCUGCCUCCCAGGUUCAAACGAUCCUCCUGCCUAAGCCUCCUGAGUAGCUGAAACUACAGGCUGGAGUGAAAGGGCGUGAUCUUGGCUCCCUGCGACCUCCGCCUCCCUGGUUCAAGUGAUUCUCCUGCCUCAGCCUUCCAAGUAUGUGGGAUUACAGAUUCCAUUUUGGAUGCUUCCAUAAGGACUGUGCAUCCCUGUGCUGGAACUCAAGUGAACACUUGGCUCAACAUCCAUUGCUCUUCUCUAGAAAUCCAGCCAAUGCUCGUGGUGAAAGAUAAGGAGCGGCGGAGUUUCACCAUGUUGGCCAGAGUUUUGUUCCUGUUGCUUAGGCUGGAGUGAACGGCACCAACUCAGCUCACGACAAACUUGGCCGCCCAGGUUCAACCGAUUCUCCUGCCUCAGCCUCCCGGGCACACUUCCUGUACUGGAACUCAAGGAGAAUCUGGCGGUGACACCCAGGCUGGAGUGCAAUGGUGCGAUAUCGGCUCACGACAGCCUCCCCACUCCCGGGUUCAAGUGAUUGUUUGACCUCAGCGUCCCGCAUAGCUGGGAUUACAGGUAAGUGGCACCAUGCCUGGCUAAUUGUUGUGGUUUCAGCCGAGACAGGGUUUCACCAUGUUGGCUAUGCUGGUCUCUAGUGGUCCUCUUCAUUCAGCCCUGCAGGUAUCUGGACUACAUGGGGCAUCCCACCACCCUUGGCUAAGUUUUCAGUUUUUGAAAGAGAUGGGGUCUCUCUUGUCAGAAAGGUCCCCACUCCUGAGUUCAGGGGACCCCACAGUAUGAGGCUCUGUGUCUUGACGACUCAUUUCAAAGAUAGUUGACAUGGGCAGACAUCGGGCACAGGGUCCCAGCUACUGCAGAGCCUGGGUGGGAGGGUCCUUUGAUUUCUAGGCUAUACCAAGA